rnacentral:rRNA from 1 species
CAGUCGCCGCGGUAAUACGUAGGUGGCGAGCGUUAUCCGGAAUUAUUGGGCGUAAAGGGUGCGUAGGCGGCCUGUUAAGUAAGUGGUUAAAUUGUUGGGCUCAACCCAAUCCAGCCACUUAAACUGGCAGGCUAGAGUAUUGGAGAGGCAAGUGGAAUUCCAUGUGUAGCGGUAAAAUGCGUAGAUAUAUGGAGGAACACCAGUGGCGAAGGCGGCUUGCUAGCCAAAGACUGACGCUCAUGCACGAAAGCGUGGGGAGCAAAUAGGAUUAGAUACCCCUGUAGUCCCUGUCUCUUAUACA